CAAUAUAGGGCCCUUUUAGGGUCUUAUAAUUGGAAUGAGUACAACUUUAAAUCCCUUAACGAGGAACAAUUGGGAGGGCAAGUCUGGUGCCAGCAGCCGCGGUAAUUCCAGCUCCAAUAGCGUAUAUUAAAGUUGUAUGCAGUUAAAAAGCUCGUAGUUGAACCUUGGGCCUUGGCUUGGCAGGGUCCUGCUCACCGCGUGCACUGGUACCGGCCUGGGUCCUUUCCUUCUGAGGAGCCGGAUGCCCUUCACUGGGUAGUGUCGGGGAAUCAGGACUUUUACUUUGAAAAAAUUAGAGUGUUCAAAGCAGGCCUAUGCUCGAAUACAUUAGCAUGGAAUAAUAGAAUAGGACGUGUGGUCUAU
rnacentral:rRNA from 1 species